rnacentral:rRNA from 1 species
AACGAACGCUGGCGGCAUGCCUAACACAUGCAAGUCGAACGAGACCUUCGGGUAUAGUGGCGCACGGGUGCGUAACGCGUGGGAACCUGCCCUUAGGUUCGGAAUAACUUCCCGAAAGGGGUGCUAAUACCGGAUAAUGUCUUCGGACCAAAGAUUUAUCGCCUUUGGAUGGGCCCGCGUUGGAUUAGCUAGUUGGUAGGGUAAAAGUCUACCAAGGCGACGAUCCCUAGCUGGUCUGAGAGGAUGAUCAGCCACACUGGGACUGAGACGCGGCCCAGACUCCUACGGGAGGCAGCAGUGGGGAAUAUUGGACAAUGGGCGAAAGCCUGAUCCAGCAAUGCCGCGUGAGUGAUGAAGGCCUUAGGGUUGUAAAGCUCUUUUACCCGGGAUGAUAAUGACAGUACCGGGAGAAUAAGCUCCGGCUAACUCCGUG